rnacentral:rRNA from 1 species
GGAGUUAGCCGGUGCUUCUUCUGUGAGUGAUGUCCUUCCUGCCGGCUAUUAACCCGCAGGCCUUCUUCCUCACUGAAAGUGCUUUACAACCCGAAGGCCUUCUUCACACACGCGGCAUGGCUGGAUCAGGGUUGCCCCCAUUGUCCAAUAUUCCCCACUGCUGCCUCCCGUAGGAGUCUGGGCCGUGUCUCAGUCCCAGUGUGGCUGAUCAUCCUCUCAGACCAGCUACGGAUCGUCGCCUUGGUGAGCCGUUACCUCACCAACCAGCUAAUCCGACAUAGGCUCAUCCGAUAGCGCGAGGCCCGAAGGUCCCCCGCUUUCCCCCGUAGGGCGUAUGCGGUAUUAGCCUGGGUUUCCCCAGGUUAUCCCCCACUACCGGGCAGAUUCCUAUGCAUUACUCACCCGUCCGCCGCUCGCCAUCAGGGAGCAAGCUCCCCGUGCUGCCGCUCGACUUGCAUGUGUUAGGCCUGCCGCCAGCGUUCAAUCUGAGCCAGAAUCAAACUCUGA